GGAAGUUGUGCUCUGUUUCAACUGUUCUUCGUUCUGGGUUUUGUUUACAUUUCUAAGAUCUCCACCAUAGAUCUACACAAGGGUGAAAGAAACCCAAUCCAUAUUUUCAUUUAUAACAAAUAGCCACUCGUCGCGCGGAUAUGACGCACGGUGCGUUUUGUGACGCCACUGACUGUAUUGCCGCGAAAUGUCAAAUCAUGGCAGCAGGAUUUCAGAAAUGAUCGUCUCUUGAGUAUGAAAACCAUGAGAAGUCAAGGCAGAUCUGGUCCAGAUGGGGCUUCUCUCCAUGGCGAGGAUGCACUUCAACUCCUUCCCAGAGAGAA